rnacentral:rRNA from 1 species
CUUGUACCUGGUGGCGAGCGGCGGACGGGUGAGUAAUGCCUAGGAAUCUGCCUGGUAGUGGGGGAUAACGCUCGGAAACGGACGCUAAUACCGCAUACGUCCUACGGGAGAAAGCAGGGGACCUUCGGGCCUUGCGCUAUCAGAUGAGCCUAGGUCGGAUUAGCUAGUUGGUGAGGUAAUGGCUCACCAAGGCGACGAUCCGUAACUGGUCUGAGAGGAUGAUCAGUCACACUGGAACUGAGACACGGUCCAGACUCCUACGGGAGGCAGCAGUGGGGAAUAUUGGACAAUGGGCGAAAGCCUGAUCCAGCCAUGCCGCGUGUGUGAAGAAGGUCUUCGGAUUGUAAAGCACUUUAAGUUGGGAGGAAGGGCAGUUACCUAAUACGUAAUUGUUUUGACGUUACCGACAGAAUAAGCACCGGCUAACUCUGUGCCAGCAGCCGCGGUAAM